rnacentral:rRNA from 1 species
GGGACACGUGGUAUCCUGUCUGAAUAUGGGGGGACCAUCCUCCAAGGCUAAAUACUCCUGACUGACCGAUAGUGAACCAGUACCGUGAGGGAAAGGCGAAAAGAACCCCGGCGAGGGGAGUGAAAAAGAACCUGAAACCGUGUACGUACAAGCAGUGGGAGCCUCUUAAUGGGGUGACUGCGUACCUUUUGUAUAAUGGGUCAGCGACUUAUAUUCUGUAGCAAGGUUAACCGAAUAGGGGAGCCGAAGGGAAACCGAGUCUUAACUGGGCGUUAAGUUGCAGGGUAUAGACCCGAAACCCGGUGAUCUAGCCAUGGGCAGGUUGAAGGUUGGGUAACACUAACUGGAGGACCGAACCGACUAAUGUUGAAAAAUUAGCGGAUGACUUGUGGCUGGGGGUGAAAGGCCAAUCAAACCGGGAGAUAGCUGGUUCUCCCCGAAAGCUAUUUAGGUAGCGCCUCGUGAAUUCAUCUCCGGGGGUAGAGCACUGUUUCGGCAAGGGGGUCAUCCCGACUUACCAACCCGAUGCAAACUGCGAAUACCGGAGAAUGUUAUCACGGGAGACACACGGCGGGUGCUAACGUCCGUCGUGAAGAGGGAAACAACCCAGACCGCCAGCUAAGGUCCCAAAGUCAUGGUUAAGUGGGAAACGAUGUGGGAAGGCCCAGACAGCCAGGAUGUUGGCUUAGAAGCAGCCAUCAUUUAAAGAAAGCGUAAUAGCUCACUGGUCGAGUCGGCCUGCGCGGAAGAUGUAACGGGGCUAAACCAUGCACC